GCCCAGAUAGCUCAGUCGGUAGAGCAGAGGACUGAAAAUCCUCGUGUCCGCGGUUCGAUUCCGUGUCUGGGCACCA
rnacentral:tRNA from 2 species